rnacentral:piRNA from 1 species
AGAGAUUUCAAAGAAGCAACAUUUGGAU